rnacentral:rRNA from 1 species
GAUGAACGCUGGCGGCGUGCCUAAUACAUGCAAGUCGAGCGAACAGACGAGGAGCUUGCUCCUCUGACGUUAGCGGCGGACGGGUGAGUAACACGUGGAUAACCUACCUAUAAGACUGGGAUAACUUCGGGAAACCGGAGCUAAUACCGGAUAAUAUAUUGAACCGCAUGGUUCAAUAGUGAAAGAUGGUUUUGCUGUCACUUAUAGAUGGAUCCGCGCCGCAUUAGCUAGUUGGUAAGGUAACGGCUUACCAAGGCAACGAUGCGUAGCCGACCUGAGAGGGUGAUCGGCCACACUGGAACUGAGACACGGUCCAGACUCCUACGGGAGGCAGCAGUAGGGAAUCUUCCGCAAUGGGCGAAAGCCUGACGGAGCAACGCCGCGUGAGUGAUGAAGGUCUUCGGAUCGUAAAACUCUGUUAUUAGGGAAGAACAAAUGUGUAAGUAACUAUGCACGUCUUGACGGUACCUAAUCAGAAAGCCACGGCUAACUACGUG